CUUUCCAAGGCCACACACCCCGGCAUGAGGCUGCAUCAGCCAGGGGAGACAGUGCAUCUAGCCCUGGAGACCAGAAGGAGGAAGACCUCUAAGGCUGGGCUUAGGAGACAGAAUUUAGUUCAGGAGAUAAUGGGGAGCCUGCUGAGAGUUUAGAAACAGGGGAGGAACAUGGGGGAUUGAGUUAGACUUAAGGAAGAAUUAAUUUCUGAGCCAGACACUGUAAGAGGUGACGCUGGGCUACAUCAAAAUUAACUGGGAAACUCUUUCUGAUGAACUGGUGUCUGUACAAUAGGAAGAGAUGGAAGACUAGAAAACAGGAAUUGCUCAGAAAGGAAUUGAGCUCUUUGGAUGGGAAACAAGAACUCCGAUGGAAUGCAGGAGGAAGGAUUGAGCAAGAGAGAAGGAAAGUGGCUGCCAACCUGUCCAAGUGGAGAAAAAGACCUUAAACACAACAGGGGACUUCAUGCGUCUCUAAAUGCUUUGGCAGGUUUCUUUGCCUACAUCAGCCUCACACUGGAAUGCAAGGAAAGAAUUAUAUCCUUUUCCCACUGCUGUGGUAUUUCAGCUGAAAUCAGCCUCAUCAAAGCAGCAACUAUGUACCAAGGGGUUGACAAAUAGAGGAAAUUUGUGAAGCUGGGCUUCUUGGCAAGUGUUUUGUCCUUGGAAAUUCUGUUCCUCUCAGCCUUCUGGGGGCUCGCUCUGUCACCCAGGUCGGAGUGUAAUGGUGUGAUCACAGCUCACUGCAGCCUCAACCUUCUGGGCUCAAGUGAUCCUUAUGCCUCAGCCUCCUGAGCAACUGGGACUACAGGCAUGUGCCACCAUGCCCAGGACUCAAAGGAGAUAGGAGAUUCCAGGAUAAAGAAUAUAUAUUAAUCACACUUUAGAGUACAGUGAAGACUUUCACAAGCAUUAUCUUGAUCCUUAGAGCAAUGCAGAGGGCCUUAUGAUUAUCACUCUCUUACAGGUAAGGGAAUCAGGACCCACAGAGGUUCAGUGACUUGCCCAAGAAUACACUGGUAGCUGUCGGCAGAGCUGGGACUUGAAUCCUAGGCCCCUGACCUCCAGUCCGAUGUCCUUUCCUAGGUGUGGAUGGUGGUGUGGGAGCUGUGAAGGUCCAGGGUUAUGUGUGGUGGGGAAGGGUGUCCAGAGGACCUGAGAGGACAAGCUGGGGAACUGCUUUGGGCCAACCCCACCUGCUGGGUUGAAGUCACAGUCAGGUGCCCCAAAUCUCACCUGUUGUCAAGGCCUCUUCCCACAGCUCUGGGUGAGAUGGAAAAAGAGGAAAAGAAAAUAGGUGGCAGUGAACUCCAGGCCAUCAGUCCACCCCCAAACCCAACCUUCCAUCCUGGUUCCUGGCUCCACUGGAGGGGCUUGUCCUGGAGAGCCAGCCCCACAGUCACUACGAGCUCAAGGUUUCCCUAUCAGAAGCAAGACUGCAGGGAGGAAGGCUAAAGUGUUCUCUGAAGCUGGACUCCUUUGGGAAUUCAGAGCUUUCCUGGCUCACCCCCCACGCACAGUGCACACGCACUUAGCAGUUUGUACACCAUGACCAGAGAUGCACAGAUCCAAGGCUGCCCAUCUAAGAACCUCAGCUGGAAAACCCAGGACCCAGAAUGAGUCUGGGUGACCACGCCUCACCCCUUUCCCUCAGACCUCUCUGGGAAGAACAAGAGACUGAGCAAGGCCACCCCCUGUCCUACCCCCAACUCAGAUCACGUCUCUAGUAUACAAUGUUAAAAUAAAUCACUGUUAAAAAAAUUACUGGGAGGAGGUUGGAUGCGGCAGCUCACGCCUGUAAUCCCAGCACUUUGGGAGGCCAAGGUGGGCAGAUCACCUGAGGUCUGGAGUUCGAGACCAGCCUGGCCAACGUGGUGAAACCCCGUCUCCACUAAAAAUACAAAAAUUAGCCAGGUGUAGUGGCAGCUGCCUGUAAUCUCAGCUACUCAGGAGGUUGAGGUAGGAGAAUCACUUGAACCAGGGAGGCAGAGAUUG
rnacentral:lncRNA from 1 species